AGUGAACGCUGGCGGUAGGCCUAACACAUGCAAGUCGAACGGCAGCACAGUAAGAGCUUGCUCUUACGGGUGGCGAGUGGCGGACGGGUGAGGAAUACAUCGGAAUCUACUUUUUCGUGGGGGAUAACGUAGGUAAACUUACGCUAAUACCGCAUACGACCUACGGGUGAAAGCAGUGGAUCUUCGGACCUUUCGCGAUUGAAUGAGCCGAUGUCGGAUUAGCUAGUUGGCGGGGUAAAGUCCCACCAAGGCGACGAUCCUUAGCUGGUCUGACAGGAUGAUCAGACACACUGGAACUGAGACAAGGUCCAGACUCCUACGGGAGGAAGCAGUGGGGAAUAUUGGACAAUGGGCGAAAGCAUGAUCCAGCAAUACCGCGUGGGUGAAGAAGGCCUUCGGGUUGUAAAGCCCUUUUGUUGGGAAAGAAAAGCAGCAGGUUAAUACCCCGCUGUUCUGACGGUACCCAAAGAAUAAGCACCGGCUAACUUCGUG
rnacentral:rRNA from 1 species